rnacentral:tRNA from 3 species
AAGACAUUAGUAAAAUGCGAAUUACACCACCUUGUCAAGGUGGAAUUGCAGGUUAAAUCCCUGCAUGUCUUA